GACGAACGCUGGUGGCGUGCUUAACACAUGCAAGUCGAACGGAAAGGCCUGCUUUCCCUUGUGGAUUGCGGGUACUCGAGUGGCGAACGGGUGAGUAACACGUGAGUGAUCUGCCCCCAACUUGGGUAUAAGCCUGGGAAACUGGGUCUAAUUCCCGAUAGGACUGCAGGGUGGUGCCUGUGGUGGAAAACGAUUUUCUAGUGGUUGGGGAUGAGCUCGCGGCCUAUCAGCUUGUUGGUGGGGUAAUGGCCUACCAAGGCGGCGACGGGUAGCCGGCCUGAGAGGGUGGACGGCCACAUUGGGACUGAGAUACGGCCCAGACUCCUACGGGAGGCAGCAGUGGGGAAGAUUGCACAAUGGGCGGAAGCCUGAUGCAGCGACGCCGCGUGGGGGAUGACGGCCUUCGGGUUGUAAACUCCUUUCGACCGCGAGGAAGCCACCUGGUUGGAAGGGUGGUGACGGUAGUGGUAGAAGAAGCACCGGCUAACUACGUG
rnacentral:rRNA from 1 species